rnacentral:misc_RNA from 1 species
GAGUGUAAAAAUGUACUUUUGGACGUCGUCGUUAUGAGUGCAAAGCGCGAGAUGUACUGCGCUCCGAAAUCAAUACGCCGGCUGCCAAUUGUUUUGAGGCGAGUCUACACGCAGAGGCGAGACAAACACCCAACACCAAGCAGAGCUUGAAGGUACAAAUGACGCUCGAACAGGCAUGCCCCCAUGGAAUACCAAGGGGCGCAAUGUGCGUUCAAAGAUUCGAUGAUUCACUGAAUUCUGCAAUUCACACUACUUAUCGCAUUUCGCUGCGUUCUUCAUCGAUGCCAGAACCAAGAGAUCCGUUGUGUCCAAUCGGCGGGCGGACCCGCCGAGGAAACGUAAGGUACUUAAAAGACAGUCCAAUCGGCGGGCGGACCCGCCGAGGAAACGUAAGGUACUUAAAAGACA